UUUAAACACUACUUGGCUAAUUCUUUAAUUUACUUUGUGUUCUCUUAUUACAGCUUCUGACAAAACACCAGCCAUCUUCUUUUAUGUUACACGUUAAUCAAACUGCCUUAAAUUAUCACAGACUGACUGUUGAUGCUCACUGCGUGAAGCCCAGGCUGACACUACAGAAAGACUCUCUCUGCUGUCCCAGCGUCAUUACUUCUCUGGGACUGUCAUUCUCAACUUGUCACUAGAAGGAAGCAACGUGCUGAUCUCUAAGAGGGAUGCCAGUCUCGGGCUGGAUACUAGCCUGUGUUCUUUAGAGCAACUUCAUCCACAAGCUCUCUCAGUUCUGUGAAUCCUUCAACUCCUGACACUUAGAAUCAGUGGAUUUUUGAGCUGAUGGGAUGAGAAACCUGGAAUCUCAGAGGGAAGUGACUUGUUGCCUUCUGCACCGGUUGCAGGUACAGCACACAAGAAGAGAACUUAGACCCAUCUUCCACCUCUGUAUCAGAAAUUAUCCUCAUUACAUCAUAGGUAAGGUCAUCAAGAGCGAGAACCAGAAGAAUCCUAAAGUCACUUCAUUGUUUUUCCUCACAGUUCCUCCGGCCUGGUCCCAUACACCUCCUGUUGUUCUAAAUUUUCUCUCUACUGAGCAACCAGUGGUUACUAGGUAGGUUCUCAACAGAGGCUCAGAAGACUUUCCCUUCGGAUUCAUGGUUUCCUUAAAGGCUGGCAUCCCUCCCACACUUCUGUUUUCUCCUAAAGCCUAAAAAGCUCCUUCAAACAACACAGUGGCUUCCUCCAUGGAAGAAACAAGUAUAUUCACUUCACUCUCGAUAUCACUCUGCUUCUAAAACCUGACACAC
rnacentral:lncRNA from 1 species